GACGAACGCUGGCGGCGUGCUUAACACAUGCAACUCGAACGGAAAGGCCCUGCUUUUGUGGGGUGCUCGAGUGGCGAACGGGUGAGUAACACGUGAGUAACCUGCCCUUGACUUUGGGAUAACUUCAGGAAACUGGGGCUAAUACCUGAUAGGAGCUCCUGCUGCAUGGUGGGGGUUGGAAAGUUUCGGCGGUUGGGGAUGGACUCGCGGCUUAUCAGCUUGUUGGUGGGGUAGUGGCUUACCAAGGCUUUGACGGGUAGCCGGCCUGAGAGGGUGACCGGCCACAUUGGGACUGAGAUACGGCACAGACUCAUACGGGAGGCAGCAGUGGGGAAUAUUGCACAAUGGGCGGAAGCCUGAUGCAGCAACGCCGCGUGCGGGAUGACGGCCUUCGGGUUGUAAACCGCUUUCGCCUGUGACGAAGCGUGAGUGACGGUAAUGGGUAAAGAAGCACCGGCUAAGUACGUG
rnacentral:rRNA from 1 species